GGAGAGCUGUCCGAGUGGCUUAAGGAGCACGCCUGGAAAGUGUGUAUACGUUAAUAGCGUAUCGAGGGUUCGAAUCCCUCGCUCUCCGCCA
rnacentral:tRNA from 1 species